ACCUUGGGAACCCCAGGUUAAUACCGCAUAAGUCCUAACGGGGAGAAAGGGGGUUCCGGCUCCCGCUAUCGGAUGGGCUUAUGUCGGAUUAGCUGGUUGGUGAGGUAAAGGCUCACCAAGGCGACGAUCCGUAGCUGGUCUGAGAGGAUGAUCAGCCACAUCGGGACUGAGACACGGCCCGAACUCCUACGGGAGGCAGCAGUGGGGAAUAUUGGACAAUGGGGGGAACCCUGAUCCAGCCAUGCCGCGUGUGUGAAGAAGGCCCUCGGGUUGUAAAGCACUUUCAGUGAGGAAGAACGCNUGGUGGUUAAUACCCAUCAGGAAAGACAUCACUCACAGA
rnacentral:rRNA from 1 species